AUUGAACGCUGGCGGCAGGCCUAACACAUGCAAGUCGAGCGGAUGAAGGGAGCUUUCUCCUGGAUUCAGCUGCGGACGGGUGGGUAAUGCCUAGGAAUCUGCCUGGUAUUUGGGGCUAACGUCCGUAAACGGGCGCUAAUACCGCAUACGUUCUGAGGGUGAAAGUGGGGGAUCUUCGGAGCUCGCGCGAUCAGCUGAGCCUAGGUCGGAUUAGCUAGUUGGUUUGGUAAAGGCCUACCAAGGCGACGAUCCGUAACUGGUCUGAGAGGAUGAUCAGUCACACUGGAACUGAGACACGGUCCAGACUCCUACGGGAGGCAGCAGUGGGGAAUAUUGGACAAUGGGCGAAAGCCUGAUCCAGCCAUGCCGCGUGUGUGAAGAAGGUCUUCGGAUCGUAAAGCACUUUUAGUUGGGAGGAAGGGCAGUAAGUUAAUCCCUUGCUGUUUUGACGUUACCAACAGAAUAAGCACCGGCUAACUUCGUG
rnacentral:rRNA from 1 species